rnacentral:lncRNA from 1 species
UGUCUAAUCCUGAUUGAGUAGACCUGCAUCACUCAAAAUGUAGUUAAACAUCUAAACACAAUCAAUUAGUUUCAUCAUCAAAAUCCGAGAUUCAAUAGUGGCCUCAUUCCAGCUCGAGGGAGAUGCACUCCAGUGGUACGAUUGGUAUGAAACUUUCCACGGAGUUCCUUCGUGGGAGCAGUUCAAAAGAGGGCUUCUUGUUCGCUUUG